GGGUCAGUAGGUUGGUCGUGCCACCGGUACGUACUGGUCUCACUGAUUCCUCCUUCCUGAAGAACCGUAAUGCCAUUAAUUGGGUGUUGCCGGGAAACAGGACUGUUACUUUGAAAAAAUUAGAGUGUUUAAAGCAAGCUAACGCUUGAAUACAUUAGCAGGGAAAAAUGAAAUAGGACGAUCGAUCCUAUUUUGUUGGUUUCUAGGAUUGACGUA
rnacentral:rRNA from 1 species